rnacentral:rRNA from 1 species
ACGCAUGAGAAGAUGUAGAAAGUCGCUUACUUUGUGGCGACGCUUUUGGAUGAGGGGUGCGACGUAUCAGAUUAGUUGGUGAGGUAAAUGGGCUCACCAAGUCAAUGACGCGUAGCUGUACUGAGAGGUAGAACAGCCACAAUGGGACUGAGACACGGCCCAUACUCCUACGGGAGGCAGCAGUAGGGAAUUUUUCACAAUGGGCGCAAGCCUUAUGAAGCAAUGCCGCGUGAACGAUGAAGGUCUUUAUAGAUUGUAAAGUUCUUUUAUAUGGGAAGAAACGCUAAGAUAGGAAAUGAUUUUAGUUUGACUGUACCAUUUGAAUAAGUAUCGGGCUAACUAUGUGCCAGCAGCCGCGGGUAAAUA